UCCUGGUUAGCUCAGUUGGUAGAGCGCUCCACCUGUAAUGGAGAGGUCCCUGGAUGAAUACGAGGACCAGGCG
rnacentral:tRNA from 1 species